AAGUGGGUCUCCGGGGACGAGGGUAGUCACCUAUUCCGGAUGAGCCCCCAAAUGAAAGACCCCCAGAGUGGGGAGACCCUCACUCAAGUCUUGGUAUGAUGCGACACGACCCCCCAAGAGCUCACGAGAGACC
rnacentral:pre_miRNA from 14 species